rnacentral:lncRNA from 1 species
CAGAGGUGUCAACCAGGAUCACAGGUAUAGAAGUAAGGAAAUAAGAUGCAUUUUAUUGUACUUUAUUUAACUUCUUUAGUUUAUGAUCUAUCUGAAUAACUUUUUUUUUAAUAUUAUCUUCUCUCAGCGGACAUGAGGCAUAUGUUCAUGACAUAAGACAGUGACUUCAACAAGGCUGGUGGUAGGACAUUUGCAUCAUUAAAGGGUCUGAAUUUUUAAGUGUUCUCCUCCAUGUGUGGUAGCAAAAAAAGACGGAAAAAGUAAAUCAGCAUCUGCGCCCUCAGGGCAUAGCCCCUGGGCAUACCCCUGAGGGCGCUAGAAUCCUAGAGCCACCCCUGAUCCUCGGUGGUAUGUCAGCUGUAAAAGCUCACAGUGAUUCAGGCCAGAGUGGUUAAAUAUUUGGCCCUCUUGAAGAUUAUAGCAGCGAUGAUGGCAGAAGAUCCUAUUUUCACAGUUUCAGACCGACCCCCCAGACAUGAACCAUAUCUGAACCCUGAAACCUGCAGAUCAGCUUUACUGUCAUCAGGACCCUGGUGUGUUGUUAAAAGAUUUACUCGAAAUGUAUCCAUGUGUUUGUGUGUCACGGGAGGUGAAUCCCCUUUAGUCGCCACUGAGAGCCCUAACAUGAGGAAGGAACAGUUGCGUUCGUGUCAGGAGUUAAGCCUGACAAAUAUCAGAAGGUGUCUAAGCCUGUUAACCAUGGAGGGACGGCUGCCAGCUCUCUACAUAAACUCUUACAACAGCAGAACAUGGGGGGGGGGGGUUAAGGGGGUAACAUCAGAGGUGUCAUUAAAAGAGGAAAAAUCAACAAAAGAGGACAGCAGAGAUAAAGGUACCUGAAAAAAGAGGGAGGAGAACAAAAAAAGCCAGAAUUCAGGAAAAGAACGAAAUACAGAGGACCCGACAGAGAGCCUUGAGGACUGAACACACAGUGUCUUUAUGUCGUCAGAAAAACAUCAACUGAAAAAAAAAACUUCUAAUCUGAAAAAUGUGAUCUGGUGUUUUUUUCAGAGCUAAAAUCCAGAGUCUUGUUCUCCAUCAGUUUAUUCAGCUUUUACAUCUCUCUCUAACAAAUGUCCAAACUAAAUCAUCUCGUAGAAUCAGAAACGUUCUGAAACUGUUUUGAUACAUGCACAAAACUUCAUAAAAACUUCCAAAAUUUUCGAAAAGGGUUGCAUAUGAAAACACAAACGGACAGACUUUUAUAACAGGACCUUUUCUGCUGGCCCCCUUUUUUAAAAGGAGGUCAGGUGAUCCAAAAAAUUCACCAUCAGAGAGCAGACAAGGGUGACAAAACUGAGAAAGUGAAGAAUGUGAGGUGAAGGAGAAAAAUCUUUUCACAGUGAGGACAUCUGCACAUCGAUUCAUGUUUGUGUUUCUUCUCUCUGUACCUUAUCUACUCAAAAGUGCGAUAGGAGUCUCCUUUGUCAGCGAAGCUGUCAAUCGAUUAUUGAUAAAAAUCAAAUAAUUCUUAUAAACUAAACUUGUUGAAAAAACUCACACUUUGACGUAAAUCAGAAACCAUGCUUGAGUUCAAUUUUUUUUUGCUUUUUUUGAUAAAUAAUUCUAUAAUUGCAUUUAUUCAUGUAUUACAUGUAAAGGCCCGUGUACAUCUGUUAACAUAUGGGAGGGCGGGUCUGUGCCCUAUGCUGCAGCCAGCCUUUAGGGGGAGCUCUAUAUCUGUGGUGAACUCAUUGUAAACAAACAACUUUGGAAUUUUACAGAAAUUUUCAGGCCAGUCUUUCUUGAAAUUUUUGUGACAUGUGUGAAAAAGGUACAUAUUAUUAUACGCUUUAUUAUUGAGUUUAUUUUUUAAUUAUUAUAGACGCAUCUUCUGCAAUUAAUGCAGCCCGAAAGGUAAGAUGCAUCCAGGCAUGGCAUAUAUCAAAAUGUGCGUCUCCAUCGUGUGACAGUGGGUAUUACUUUCCUCUAUCAUUACUGUUUCUAUGGCAACGCUAGAUGCCAAAAAGCUGUGAAAAUUUCCCCAUGUAAGCAGAUGGGAGAGAGCAAGAAAAAAAAAGAUUUUUUGCAUGACUUUGACACCUUGCCCUGUCGCCAUACUUUGAUGUAGAAGCAUGAUUCAAACAUCAAAACGUUGACACCGGACCUGUAAUUUCAAAAGUGUAGAAGGCCCCUCAAUAUCUGGUACGGUUUGGCCACAGUAACUGUUCAAGCAGGUGUGCAAAUGAGGAUUUUCUGUUUUUUAGAGUGAUGACUCAUCAUUUUAGAGUGAAGAGAAGUGAACGUGUAAUCCCAAUUUUUAAUUUCUAAAUCACUGCCACGGCCACAAUUUUCACUCGACACACACAAAUUAUACAUCAAAACGUAGGAAAUCUACCAGCCAGACAGGAAAUGUGGACCUUGAAGCUGUGAGAUGCUCACUUUUUAAGCUUCAAGGUUUUGUUAGGGAGGAGGUACCUGUUUCACCUCCAUCCACCGCUAUUCAAAAAGAACACAAAUGCUCCACAUCCGACUGUUGCUCAUUUUCUCCAAACAACUCGCGAUCCUGUCUAAACUGUAAAGCGUAGCAACUUGUCCUUCUGAUAUUUCGUAGCUGUAUUUUUUUUUCCAAUACCACUAGUGAGAUAUCAAGUUUCCUAUUCAAAGUGAAUGGAGCUGCUGAAAACAUGGGGUGGUCUCCAUAUUUGGAGCUUGAGGUAUAAAUGUGAUUUGAACUCUGACCUUUAGAUGAGACCCGAACCUUUCAAACUGCGAAAACUGCAUUUCAAUAUCUCUUACAGUUUUCCUACAAGGUGAGUUUGUUUGGGCCAGUCCUGUUCUAAGCAGGCAGAGGCUAAGCGAGGCUAAAGGUCCUUACACACCAGGGACGACGCAAAUAUUCGACGAGAAAUUACGAAAUAUUCAUAGGCGAAUUUUGAUUUGCCUGACUGUACACAUCAAGCAUGAUGCGAUUUUGUGACUUUCCGGGUGGGAAAAGACGCGUCCCGGGUGGAAGCAAGAAAAAUGACACAACACUAGACUGAAUGUUUUUCAGUUCUGAUUAGACACUAGUGUUGAGAUGUCUGUCAUGAUAGCAUGUACUGAGUUGGGGCCAGUACCAGAUAAGCACAUUAAACUAUAAUCCAUAAACAUAAGGUAACAACCAAGACCUAAUGGUGCUGUGACAGCAA